rnacentral:rRNA from 1 species
GCGAGCGAAACUGGAUGAGGCUAAAUCUUAAGCGUGUGAGACCCGGCAGGGGUUGCGCUUGGGGGGUUGUGGGAUCUCUCUUCCACGGUCUGCCGGCCGUGGGACGAGUCAGAAACCGUUGAUGUAGACGAAGGACAUGCGAAAGGUCCGGCGUAGAGGGUAAGACCCCCGUAGUCGAAACGUCAGCGGCUCGUUUGAGAGACACCCAAGUAGCACGGGGCCCGAGAAAUCCCGUGUGAAUCUGGCGGGACCACC